AAACAUUAAAAUAAAAUCCAAAUAAACAAACAAAUGUCUGAACAAAAAAGAAGCUCAUCGAAACGGCACGCCAGCCGAGGCCGCAGCUUUUCCCACCAGGAACGUCAUCUUGCUGCAGCUGAGUCGAGUCGCCAUCCACCGAACUGGAAACCAGGAGAAGAAGAUCAGUCUUUCCUGAUCAACACCAGCAUCUCAGCCCAGUGUGCCCAGAAUAAGAACAUUCCCCCUCCAGCUGGAGUGGAGUAAGCAGCGUGACAGCGAUGGCGUGCGGUCGCCGUGCGACUGGGCCCCCCCCCCCCGUGCGUCUCCGGCGUCGCUCGUAAAUUCCUCCCGGUCGGGGCCCCUUCCCUGUUUCCCCGCCGGCCUCCUGUGAAAGGAAAAGGAAUCCUGGCAUCAGCGUUCCCGCGGAAACGGGCGCCGGCUCCUCUGUGCUCCCGCGCUGGCGGUAAAUAAGAGCUGUUGCCCGGCGACCGCGCGGCAGCUCGGGGUCGGAUGAAAGCGCCCGAACCGGCGUGACGGACGGGACGUGGGCGGGGCCGGCCGGCGUAAACCUGUCCGCACCCCUCUGAUGGCGGGACCCCUGGAUGCCACCCGGGGGUGAGCUCUGUGGUUUCCACUUAAAACUACAACCCCCCCCCCCCCUUAAAAAACACACCAAACUAAGGGGCAGCAUAAAAUGGUAUAGUAGGAAAAAAGCAUGAAAGCUUGUGGUUGGGCGUUGGGGGGGGGGACUUAAAUGAACACAGCGAGUUAAGAAAGUGUGCAGUGUGAGUCGGUUGGUGAUGGUGGUUAAAGUGUGCAGUGUGAGUCGGUUGGUGAUGGUGGGUAAAGUGUGCAGUGUGAGUCGGUUGGUGAUGGUGGUUAAAGUGUGCAGUGUGAGUCGGUUGGUGAUGGUGGGUAGAAAGUGUGCAGUGUGAGUCGGUUGGUGAUGGUGGUUAAAGUGUGCAGUGUGAGUCGGUUGGUGAUGGUGGUUAAAGUGUGCAGUGUGAGUCGGUUGGUGAUGGUGGGUAAGAAAGUGUGCAGUGUGAGUCGGUUGGUGAUGGUGGUUAAAGUGUGCAGUGUGAGUCGGUUGGUGAUGGUGGUUAAAGUGUGCAGUGUGAGUCGGUUGGUGAUGGUGGGUAAGAAAGGUACAGGUAAGGGUAUGAGUAUGGGUAUGCUGGUACGGGUACGGGUAAGGGUAAGGGUAUGAGUAUGGGUAUGCGGGUUUGAGUACGGGUAUGGGUACGGGUACGGGUACGGGUAUGAGUACGGGUAUGCGGGUAUGGGUACGGGUACAGGUAAAGGUAAGGGUGUGAGUACGGGUAUGGGUAUGCGGGUGCGGGUACGGGUACAG